ACGGGUGAGUAACACGUAAGGAACCUGCCUCAAGGAUUGGGAUAACUCCGAGAAAUCGGAGCUAAUACCGGAUAGUUCAACGGACCGCAUGGUCCGCUGAUGAAAGGCGCUCCGGCGUCACCUUGAGAUGGCCUUGCGGUGCAUUAGCUAGUUGGUGGGGUAACGGCCCACCAAGGCGACGAUGCAUAGCCGACCUGAGAGGGUGAUCGGCCACACUGGGACUGAGACACGGCCCAGACUCCUACGGGAGGCAGCAGUAGGGAAUCUUCCACAAUGGACGAAAGUCUGAUGGAGCAACGCCGCGUGAGUGAUGAAGGUUUUCGGAUCGUAAAACUCUGUUGUAAGGGAAGAACACGUACGAGAGGAAAUGCUCGUACCUUGACGGUACCUUACGAGAAAGCCACGGCUAACUACGUGUCAGCAGCCGCGGUAAUACGUAGGUGGCAAGCGUUGUCCGGAAUUAUUGGGCGUAAAGCGCGCGCAGGCGGCCUUUUAAGUCUGAUGUGAAAGCCCCCGGCUCAACCGGGGAGGGCCAUUGGAAACUGGAAGGCUUGAGUACAGAAGAGAAGA
rnacentral:rRNA from 1 species